UACGGAGGAUGCGAGCGUUAUCCGGAUUUAUUGGGUUUAAAGGGUGCGUAGGCGGACUGAUAAGUCAGCGGUGAAAGUUCUCGGCUCAACCGAGGAAUUGCCGUUGAAACUGUUAGUCUUGAGUGUAGAUGAGGUGGGCGGAAUUCGUGGUGUAGCGGUGAAAUGCUUAGAUAUCACGAAGAACUCCAAUUGCGAAGGCAGCUCACUAGGCUACAACUGACGCUGAGGCACGAAGGUGCGGGGAUCAAACAGG
rnacentral:rRNA from 1 species